rnacentral:rRNA from 1 species
GUCUAAGGCCAUACCACUCGGGAUGUACCCGAUCUUGCCUGAUCUGGGAAGCUAAGCAGAGUCAGGCCCCGUGACUCCCAUACUUGGAUGGGAGAAUUAAUUA